rnacentral:lncRNA from 1 species
GUUUUGAUCCUCACUCAUAUUCUGUCCUUUUCUUCCUUGGUCACCAUAUGUACACAUGCAUCACACAUAGAUAGAGAGAGAAAGAGGUUUAGAGAGAGAAGCAUAAAGAGAGGGAGGCGAUCAGAGAUGAGAUACUAAAGGAGGCCGUCCAUGGCCUAUCGGAACUGAAUCAGCGUCCUCACAGGAAGCUUUUCAUGAUUUCAUCUUGGAUUUCAAAAGUCAAACCUUCUACAUUUAGUGCAUUCCUUGGGAAAAGAUUCGUACCAACUUCAGGACAGUAGUCAUAAAUUGGGUUUCACGUUUUUUGGGUCAAACCUGCUAUGCAUUACACAUUAGUUAUGGUUUUGAGACCGGAUAUGAUAUGAGAUGAUCGUCGAGUGUUGCUGUUAGCCUUGAGUUGCCUAGCCUAACUGGCAUAGUGGCAUCUCUUCGUGUACAUGAUACCUGUUCUUAGAGGAAUGUUGGGUAACGGGUCAAAACAGGUCGAGUUGGCCGUAAAUUUGUGAAUUUGUUUACAUUAGAAGUGUUCAAUACAUACGUGAAUAUUCUGUUUUGCCGCCGAAAAGCGCGGCAUGGCAAAAUC